GGAGGGGGCAAGCGUUGCUCGGAAUUACUGGGCGUAAAGGGUCCGCAGGUGGUUUUGUAAGUUAGAUGUGAAAGCUCAGGGCUCAACCCGGAAACUGCAUCUAAUACUACAAAACUAGAGUCUAGGAGAGGUUGGCGGAGUUCCCGGUGUAGCGGUGAAAUGCGUAGAUAUCGGGAGGAACACCAGCGGCGAAGGCGGCUAACUGGCCUAGUACUGACACUCAUGGACGAAAGCGUGGGUAGCAAACCGGAUUAGAUACCCGGGGGUAGUCCACGCCCUAAACGAUGGAUGCUAGGUGUAGGGAUUUAAAUCUCUAUGCCGUAGCUAACGCAUUAAGCAUCCCGCCUGGGGAGUACGGUCGCAAGGCUG
rnacentral:rRNA from 1 species